AGCGAACGCUGGCGGCAGGCUUAACACAUGCAAGUCGAACGAAUCCUUCGGGAUUAGUGGCGGACGGGUGAGUAACACGUGGGAACGUGCCUUUUGGUUCGGAACAACACAGGGAAACUUGUGCUAAUACCGGAUGUGCCCUUCGGGGGAAAGGAUUUAUCGCCAUUAGAGCGGCCCGCGUCUGAUUAGCUUGUUGGUGAGGUAAAGGCUCACCAAGGCUACGAUCAGUAGCUGGUCNGAGAGGAUGAUCAGCCACACUGGGACUGAGACACGGCCCAGACUCCUACGGGAGGCAGCAGUGGGGAAUCUUGCGCAAUGGGGGAAACCCUGACGCAGCCAUGCCGCGUGAAUGAUGAAGGUCUUAGGAUUGUAAAUUCUUUCAGCGGGGACGAUAAUGACGGUACCCGCAGAAGAAGCUCCGGCUAACUUCGUGCCAGCCGCCGCCGUAAC
rnacentral:rRNA from 1 species